rnacentral:rRNA from 1 species
UACGUAGGGGGCAAGCGUUGUCCGGAUUUAUUGGGCGUAAAGGGCUCGUAGGCGGCCAACUAAGUCGGACGUGAAAUCCCUCGGCUCAACCGGGGAACUGCGUCCGAUACUGGAUGGCUUGAGUUCGGGAGAGGGAUGCGGAAUUCCAGGUGUAGCGGUGAAAUGCGUAGAUAUCUGGAGGAACACCGGUGGCGAAGGCGGCAUCCUGGACCGACACUGACGCUGAGGAGCGAAAGCCAGGGGAGCAAACGGG